UUACCGGUUAGUGGUGAACCGAAGCUCUCUUUUUUGUUUAAUAGCAAAAGCUUAUAAUUAUUGGAUUGGAGAUAUACAUAUAUUGGUCCAUUGGUUUUAGAAGUUGUUAUCGCUCCCAAAAUAGAAGUUGUAUAAUCAUUCAUAUGGUAUUACUGAUUUUUAUGAUUAAUAUCGAAAAAAAAAAAAAAACGUGGUCAAGCCUACUAGCCUAGUCCAAUCAGAGAUUCAGUUUGUCUAAAUUUCAAUGUACCCACUUAAAUGUCGUUUUAAAGUAAUACACAUGUUACGUAUUAUAUAAUAUGGGUU
rnacentral:lncRNA from 1 species